rnacentral:ncRNA from 1 species
CAACCCAUAUAGCGAUAUAUGGCUGAGCUAUGAGAAGUCAGCAGAGACCAUAGUACCACGAGAGUGGGAAGGGU